rnacentral:rRNA from 1 species
CCUACGGGAGACAGCAGUAGGGAAUAUUGCUCAAUGGGGGAAACCCUGAAGCAGCAACGCCGCGUGGAGGAUGAAGGUUUUCGGAUUGUAAACUCCUUUUGUUAGAGAAGAUAAUGACGGUAUCUAACGAAUAACCACCGGCUAACUCCGUACCAGCAGCCGCGGUAAUACGGAGGGUGCAAGCGUUACUCGGAAUCACUGGGCGUAAAGGGCGCGUAGGCGGGAUAGCAAGUCAGAUGUGAAAUCCUAUGGCUUAACCAUAGAACUGCAUUUGAAACUGUUAUUCUAGAGUAUGGGAGAGGUAAGUGGAAUUCUUGGUGUAGGGGUAAAAUCCGUAGAGAUCAAGAGGAAUACUCAUUGCGAAGGCGACCUGCUAGAACAUAACUGACGCUGAUGCGCGAAAGCGUGGGGAGCAAACAGGAUUAGAUACCCCUGUAGUC